CAUUCCUCUUAAAAGAGAGACUUUCCCCUAUUAGGCCUUCCUCUUUUUUUUUUUUUUAAUGAAUAUAAUCCUCUAAGCUAGUGAUGGUGUUUUAGGGAAACUUUAAUAAGAAAUGCUUUAUAAGGGGCCUCAUUUUAAUGAACAUUCCCUUUCUCUUUUAUAUCUGGUGCUCAAAGCAUCUGCUUCACCCGCUGAAGAACUAAAACUGGUUCCGAUCCUAGUUCAUACGAUAUGAGGGGCAAGUCACAAGGAUAAGCUAAUAAUGACGACAAGGAUUUUUCAGUUUAUAUUUUUGUUGAACUUUUUGCUUUUCAAACCAUUUCCAUAUAUUCCUCUUUGGUACCAACAACCUGCAGAGAAGAAACAUUUAGGAAUUCUUGUUUUACUCAUGAGGAAACCGGGGCACAAGAAAAGUGAUAUAACUUCCGAGGAUCACACAACCAAGCUGUUCAUCCGUCCAAUAAGAGCAACAUAAUACUGGAGUUAAUGGGUCCACAAGAUGAUCACAACCAGCAUUCUUCUUUGCCUAGACCUUCAAUAAUGGGAAAUAAUUGAAUUUUUAAAGUUAAGUGUUCCUAUCUAUGUAUCAAAAUCUUUUAAUAGUUAACAAAUGAAUUCAUAAAACUGAAAAACCAAAACAUCUUAAAAAGUAACCAUUACCUCCAACACUGAAUAUACUAAAAAGCAUUGAAUUAUACAGUCUAAAUGGGUGAGUUUUAUGGCUCAAUAGAGCUGUUUAAAAAGGCAAGAACCACAGUCAACUACCAUGAUUCUCUGGGGUGAUCCAUAGUUUUCAUAGCCUUCUUAUGGAGAAAAGGAAAGAAAUUUGCCUGUCUCCAGAGCUCCUAGGUGAUAUGUUUCACUUGAACUGCAUUUCAAUGUGUGCGUUAUUAGUUUUUGCCCAACAUACUCUUGAAAUAAUAUUAACCCAUAAAAAAUACAAAGACUUAGGUAUGACAUUAAAAGUUAUUAUAUGUAGGAUUUAUAAAGUGAUUUUAUAUCCACUGAGUAUACCAACCAUGCUGUAGAGUUCAUAUCUUCCACAUUUUACAAAUGAUGCAACUUUCUGCCUCUGUUUCUAAUUGCCGGUUUCUACACCUAUACUUACUUUCCCACAUAUAGUACAGAUUUCCAGGGCUAGAAAUGCUGAAGACUUAAAUUAUUUGGCUCUGCAGUAUUAGUACUGGAUUAAAACCAAAUGCAAGUGGCAAAAUAACACAUGGUGAAAGCAUGGGCUAUAUUUCUCUGAUGCCAGGCAGAAGCGAAUUAAUUCUUUGAGAGGAGGUGUGAAUACACAUGUAUAAUGAUACUUUAACACAACUGUGAGCAAAAUAUUUUGUCACAUUCCCGUGUGUUGUUAGAUUUGGUCUGCCAUCUGCCAUUCUUGCAUUGACUGGCUUAGAACACUCAUGAGUAGCAGGGACUUGCAAGAGGCUACAGAGUGUUCAUUGAAAGAUAAGGUAGAUCCUCGAGGGGGAUGGGGGGCAGAGUUUGGGAUUAGCAGAUACAAUCUAGUAUAUAUAGGAUGGAUAAACAACAAAGUCCUACUGUAUAGCACAGGGAACCAUAUUCAAUGUCCUGUGAUAAACCAUAAUGGAAAAGUAUAUGAAAAAGAAUAUAUAUAUGGCUGAAUCGCUUUGCUAUACAGCAGAAAUUAACACAACAUUGUAAAUUAACUAUACUUCAAUAAAAUAUUUUUUAAAAGAAAAAAAAAGGAAAGAUAAAGUAGAUCCUUGUGUUUCUGUUGCUUUUCCUGUGUAUCCUCUGAGGAGUUAUUUCUUUAAUUGGACAUCGUUACAGAACAUCAAACAUUUUUUUUCUUGGUGUUGUGUAUAUGAAGUAGUUGUGAAUUUCAAUUUUUAAUCUGUUCUGAUUCAUGGAAUUCCUUUGUAUGACCUAAUUUUUACUGCUUAUACAUCUAAAUUUAUCAGGAAAAGUUAAGUUCAGAAUACUCAGUUUAAGAAGGCAGGAAAAGAAUCAACAUUGUGAAAAUGACUAUACUACCCAAAGCAAUCUACAGAUUCAGUGCAAUCCCUAUCAAACUACCACUGGCAUUUUUCACAGAACUA